GUCGCGUUCGUCUAGCGAUCCAGGACACGGGCCUUUCAUGCCCGUAGACGCGGGUUUGAAUCCCGCACGCGACUCCA
rnacentral:tRNA from 1 species